AGAAUCAACGCUGGCGGCGUGCCUAACACAUGCAAGUCGAACGAGAAAGUGGGAGCAAUCCAUGAGUAAAGUGGCGCACGGGUGAGUAACACGUGACUAACCUACCCUUGAGUGGGGGAUAACCUAGGGAAACCUGGGCUAAUACCGCAUAAUACCUUCGGGUCAAAGGAGCAAUUCGCUUAAGGAGGGGGUCGCGGCCGAUUAGUUAGUUGGCGGGGUAAUGGCCCACCAAGACGAUGAUCUGUA
rnacentral:rRNA from 1 species